rnacentral:tRNA from 2 species
GCGGGGAUAGUCAAGCUUGGAAACGACGCGGAACUUAAAAUUCCGUCGCGCAGGCGUUCGCCGGUUCGAAUCCGGCUCCCCGCA